rnacentral:tRNA from 1 species
GCGGCGGUGUCCGAGUGGUUAAGGAGUUUGACUCGAAAUCAAAUGGGCUUUGCCCGCAUAGGUUCGAAUCCUGUCCGCCGCG